rnacentral:rRNA from 1 species
AUGCACGCUGGCGGCGUGCUUCACACCUGCCAGUCGCACGGUGAAGCAGAGCUUGCUCUGUGGAUCAGUGGCGAACGGGUGAGUAACACGUGAGCAACCUGCCCCUGACUCUGGGAUAAGCGCUGGAAACGGCGUCUAAUACUGGAUAUGAGCUGCGACCGCAUGGUCAGCAGUUGGAAAGAUUUUUCGGUCUGGGAUGGGCUCACGGCCUAUCAGCUUGUUGGUGAGGUAAUGGCUCACCAAGGCGUCGACGGGUAGCCGGCCUGAGAGGGUGACCGGCCACACUGGGACUGAGACACGGCCCAGACUCCUACGGGAGGCAGCAGUGGGGAAUAUUGCACAAUGGGCGAAAGCCUGAUGCAGCAACGCCGCGUGAGGGAUGACGGCCUUCGGGUUGUAAACCUCUUUUAGCAGGGAAGAAGCGAAAGUGACGGUACCUGCAGAAAAAGCGCCGGCUAACUACGUG